AUGGCGGGCUCCGGCGAGCGGACGCCGCUGCUGGGCUCGGGGAGCCACGGCGCGCGGCGGGCGUCGUCGGCGUUCGCGGGCCGGCGCGCGGCGUGCGGCGCCGUGCUGCUGACGGAGCUGCUGGAGCGCGCGGCCUUCUACGGCGUCACGGCCAACCUGGUGCUGUUCCUGAACGGCGCGCCGUUCUCCUGGGAGGGCGCGCAGGCCAGCCAGGCGCUGCUGCUCUUCAUGGGCGUCACCUACCUGGUGUCGCCGUUCGGCGGCUGGCUGGCCGACGCGCUGCUCGGCAAGGCGGGCGCCAUCGUGCUCAGCCUGGCGCUCUAUCUGCUGGGCAUGCUGGCCUUCCCGCUGGUGGCCGCGCCCUCCACGCGCGCCGCGCUCUGCGGGCCCCUGCGGGCCGCGCUGCUGGAGAACUGCUCGGCGCCCGUCCGCAACGCCAGCGCCGCCUGCCACGACAGCCCCGAGCGCCGCUGCGCCGCCGCCACCUUCGCGGGGCUGGUGCUGGUGGGCCUGGGCGUGGGCACCGUCAAGGCCAACAUCACGCCCUUCGGCGCCGACCAGGUUAAAGAUCGGGGUCCAGAAGCCACUAGAAGAUUUUUUAAUUGGUUUUAUUGGAGCAUUAACUUGGGCGCAAUUGUUUCAUUGGGAGGCAUCGCGUAUAUUCAGCAGAAUGUGAGCUUCGUUGUCGGCUACAUCAUCCCCACCACGUGCAUCGGCGUGGCUUUCGUGGUCUUCUUCUGCGGCCAGAGCUUUUUCAUCACCAAACCUCCAGACGGCAGUGCUUUCACAGAUGUGUUCAAGAUACUAGCAUAUUCCUUCUGUCCACAGAAGCGGAUAGGAGAGCGCCGUAGCAAUGGUGAAGGCAUUGGCGUCUCUCAGCAAUCUUCUAAACACAGUCUGUUUGAUUCAUGUAAGAUGUCUCGAGGAGGGCCGUUUCCAGAAGAUAAAGUGGAAGACGUGAAAGCUCUUGUCAAGAUUAUCCCUGUUUUCUUGGCUUUGAUACCUUACUGGACAGUGUAUUUUCAAAUGCAGACAACAUAUGUUUUACAGAGUCUUCAUCUGAAGAUUCCAGAAAUUUCAAGUAUUACAACCACCCCUCAUACGUUCCCCGCAGCCUGGCUGACCAUGUUCGACGCCGUGCUCAUCCUCCUCCUGAUCCCGCUGAAGGAUAAGCUGGUGGACCCCGUUUUGAGAAGAAACGGCCUGCUCCCGUCGUCCUUAAAAAGGAUCGCCGUCGGGAUGUUCUUCGUCAUGUGUUCUGCCUUUGCUGCGGGAAUUCUGGAAAGCAAGCGGCUGGACCUCGUGAAGGAGAAGACCAUCAACCAGACCAUCGGGAAAGUUGUGUAUUACGCGGCCGACCUGCCUAUAUGGUGGCAGGUCCCCCAGUACGUGCUGAUUGGGAUCAGCGAGAUAUUCGCAAGUAUAGCAGGUCUGGAGUUUGCGUACUCGGCCGCCCCCAAGUCCAUGCAGAGUGCCAUCAUGGGCUUCUUCUUCUUCUUCUCCGGCGUCGGGUCCUUCGUGGGCUCCGGACUCCUGGCCCUGGUGUCCAUCAAAGCCAUCGGGUGGAUGAGCAGCCACGCAGACUUUGGUAAUAUUAACAGCUGUUACUUGAACUAUUACUUUUUUCUUCUGGCGGCUAUUCAAGGAGCUACCCUCCUGCUUUUCCUUAUUGUUUCUGUGAAAUAUGACCGUCAGCGCUCCAGAGCCAAUGGCGUGCCUGCUGGUGGGAGGGCCUGACGCUCGAGAAGUGGAAAUUUCAUUGACUGGACGGUGUGUGGACACCUGACGGCUGAGUGCACUGAGGACAGGCCGGCUUCGUGUGCCGGGAAAUGUCUGACUGUGUGAACACUUGCAUGUUACUGAAUUAAUUUCUCCUUCUACCCCAAUAAACUAGGUUCUUUGCAGUGCUGGGCCGCAUGCGUAGUUGUCAACCAGAGUGAAAACAGCUAUGCAAUGGGAGUUACAUCACCAGUUUUCCAACCUGCGCCAACCGUCUGGGCCCUGGUAAGUUCACCUCGCGGUGUUUCUUGCCAAACAUCUGGAAGAGUUCACCACCCACUGGGGGCCUUCUUUUUUGUAAGGACUGGAUGAACAAGAGGACAUUAACCAGCCACCAGGGCCCGGAACGGACCAGAAGGUCAAGGCAGGGCUGGCCCUUAGAAAUGGAGCCACAUGGGCCUUCACUUCUGGUGGUCUCUUAAAGCUAACUGUGUUUCUUGGGAGCAGGCACUAGGCCCUGAGUUUUUUUUCUGUUUAACCAAAACCAAACCCAGUGCGGUUAAGUUGAUUUCAAUUCAUAGCGACCCUAUAGGACAGAGUAGAACUGCCCCAUAGAGUUUCCAAGGAGUGCCUGGCGGAUUCAAACUGCCGACCCUUUGGUUAGCAGCUGUAGCACUUAACCACUAUGCCACCAGGGUUUCCAUUGGAGGGCUAUAAGUCACAUCAGGGUUGCAAGCCAAAUACGGCCCUUCCAAGGUGUCCCUGUCCUAAUCCCUGAGACACAUGACUUUACACGGUUAAAGGGGGCUUUGAGAUGUGAUUCAGUAAGGCUCUUCAGAUGGGGACAUUCUCUUGAUUAUCUGGGCGGGUGGGUCCCUUGUAGUCACAGGGUCCUUGUAACUGAAAGACGGAGGCAGGAGAGUCAGUCAGAGAAGGGUGUGUAACCGAGGAAGCAGGGUGAUGCCCUCGGUAGUGGGGGUCACUAGCCACGGAGUGUGCUGGCCUCUAGAAGCUGGGACAGGCAAGGAAUGGGCCCUGCCCUAGAGUUUCCAGAAGGACCCAGCCCUGCUGACAUCUUGACUUCAGCCCAUCAAGGCCCACUUCAGAUUUCAGCCCUCCAGGCCUGUAAGAGAAUGAAUUUGGGUUGUGUGCAGCCGGUAUGUCUGUGGUAAUAAAGGAUAUGUAGUGAGACUCCUCAGCUGCGCUCAUGUGAUUUGUAAUGUUUCCUGAAGCAUGAGAAACAAGUGACUAUCCGUCAUGGAUUGAAUUGUAUCCCCCCAAAACAUGGGUCAACUUGGUUAGGCCAUGAUUCCCAGUAUUGUGUGGUUGUCCUCCAUUUUGUGAUUUUAAGUUUAUGUUAGAGAGGAUUAGGGUGGGAUGUCAUAUCCCUGAUCCAAUGUAAAGGGAGUUUCCCUGGAGUGUGGCUUACACCACUUUUUAUCUUACAAGAGAUAAAGGGAAACAAGGAGAGAGUUGGGUGGGGAACUCAUACCACCAAGAAAGCAUCACCGGGAGCAGAGCACGUCCUUGGAUCUGAGGUUCCUGUGCUGAGAUGCUCCCAGACCAAGGGAAGACAGAUCCAUCACAAGGACCUUCCUCCAGAGCUGACAGAGAGAGAAAGGCUUCCUCUGGAGGUGAUACCCUGAAUUUGGACUUCUAGGCUACUGGACUAUGAGAGAAUAAAUUCAUCUUUGUUAAAGCCAUCCAUUUGUGGUCUUUCUGUUAUAGCAGCACUAGGCGACUGAGACGCUAUCCCACCACAACUCUCAGAAAACUCAGCAUUCGUUCCAGAACUUUCCAAGUUUGGGAAACAUGGGGCCUCUCUUGACUUAAACAUUCCUCCAUUGUUGAGAUGGCAAAGGGAUCCUGUAUCUCAGAGCCAAGACUAAGGGACUUCAAAAAACUCCAUAAUCAAGUUAAGUAUUAUUUUAAUACAGUGUUUCUAAAGGUCAAGAUUAAUGCAAAUAUUACUGAAAAAGAAGAGCAAAGUGGGAGCCCUGACUCCAACUCUGCCUGAUUUUAGAAUCUAUUAUACCUCCACAGUAGUCAGAACAGCCUGGUACUGGUAUGACAACAGAUACAUAGACCAAUGGAACAGAAUUGAGAAUCCAGAGAUAAAUCCGUCCACAUAUGAGCAGCUGAUAUUUAUUUGACAAAGGCCCAAAGUCAGUUAAAUGGGGAAAAGACGGUCUGUUUAACAAAUGGUGCUGGCAUAACUGGAUAUCCAUCUGCAAAAAAAUGCAGCAAGACCCAUACCUCACACCAUGCACAAAAGCUAACUCAAAAUGAAUCAAAGACCUAAAUAUAAAAUCUAAAACGAUAAAGAUCAUGGAAGACGAGAUAGGGACAAUGCUAGGAGCCCUAAUACAUGGCAUAAACAGAAUAUAAAACAAUACUAACAAUGCAGAAGAGAAACUAGACAAGUGAGAGCUCCUAAAAAUCAAACACUUAUGCUCAUCCAAAGACAUCACCAAAAGAAUAGACUACCUACAGACUAGGAAAAAAAUUUGGCUACGACAAAUCUGAUCAGUAUCUAAUCUCUAAAAUCUACAAGAUACUGUAUAACCUUAACAACAAAAAGACAGAUAACCCAAUUUAAAAAAUGGGCAAAGGAUAUGAACAGGCAUUUCACCGAAGAAGAUAUUCAGGCGGCUAAUAGAUAUAUGAGGAAAUGCUCACUAUUAGAGAAAUGCAAAUCAAAACUACAAUGAGAUACCAUCUCACCCCAACAAGGCUGGCAUUAAUCUAAAAAACACAAAAUAAUAAAUGUUGGAGAGGUUGUGAAGAGACUGGAACACUUACACACUGCUGGUGGGAAUAUCAAAUGGUACAAUCACUUUUGGAAAUUAAUCUGUUGCUUCCUUAGAAAGCUAGAAAUAGAACUACCAUGCGAUCCAGCAAUCCCACCCCUUAGAAUAUAUUCUAGAGAAAUAAGACCCUUCACAUGAAUAGAUACAUGCACACCCAUGUUCAUUGCAGCACUGUUAACAAUAGCAGAAAGAUGGAAACAACCAAGGUGCCCAUCAAUGGAUGAAUGGACAAACCAAUUAUGGUGUAUUCACACAGUGGAGUACUACCCAGCUAUAAAGAACAAUGAUGAAUCCAUGAAACAUAACAUGGGGGAAUCUGGAAGGCAUUAUGCUGAGUGAAAUUAGUCAUAAAAGGACAAAUAUUGUAUGAGACCACUAUUAUAAGAACUGAAAGAAAGUUUUAAACAUAGAAGAAAACAUUCUUUGAUGGUUAUGAGGCAGGGAGGGAGAGGGGUAUUCGCUAACUAGGUUGUAGACAAGGAUUAUUUUAGGUGAAGGGAAGAACAACACACAAUACAGGGGAAGUCAGCACAACUGGACUAAUGAAAAAGCAAAGAAGUUUCCUGAGUACAACCGAACGCUUCAAAGGCCAGAGUAGCAGGGAUGGGGGUUCGGGGACCAUGGUUUCAGAGGACAUCUAUGUCAAUUGGCAUAACAAAAUGUACUAAGAAAAUGUUCUGUAUCCCACUUUGGUGAGAGGCGUCUGGGAUCUUAAACACUGACAAGCAGCCAUCUAAGAUGCAGUAAUUGGUCUCAACCCUCCUGGAUCAAAGGAAAAUGAAGAACGCCCAGGACACAAAGUAAUUACGAGCCCAAGAGACAGAAAAGGCCACAUAAACCAGAUACUCCAUCAGCCUGAGACCAGAAGAACUAGGUGGUGUCUAGUUCCUCCCCCUGCCCCGACAGGGAACACGACAGAGAAUCCCUGAUGGAGCAGGAGAAAAGUGGGAUGCAGACCUCAAAUUCUCGUAAAAAGACCAGACUUAAACUGAGACUAGAGGUACCCUGGAGGUCGUGGUCCCUGGACCCUUUGUCAGCCCAAAACUGGAACCAUUCCUGAAGCCAGCUCCUUAGGGAUUGGACUGGACUAUAAGAUAGAAGAUGAUACUGGUGAGGAGUUAGCUUCUUGGCUCAAGCUGACACCUGAGACUAUGUGGGCAGCUCCUGUCUGGAGGCGAGACGAGAAGGCAGAGGGGGACAGGAGCUGGCUGAAUGGACACGGGGAAUGCAGGGUAGAGAGGAGGAGUGUGCUGGCUCAUUAGGGGGAGAGCAGCUAGGAGUACAUAGCAAGGUGUGUAUAAGAUUUUGUAUGAGACUGACAUGAUUUGUAACCUUUCACUUAAAGCACAAUAAAAAAAAUGCGAAAACCAUGAUGAACAAAAUAUCAGCACUUCAAUUAGAGACAGCAUCCAGCUCUGCCCUGUGCAGCCUGGUCUCACCCCUGGCCCUAACCCAGCCCCGCUACCCACGGCCACUCUACUUCUCAGUACAAGGGCUUGUUUACCUCUAGACUGUAGCAUACCUGAAGCCCUGGUGGCACAGUGGUUAGGUGAUAAUGUCUACUAACCAAAAGGUCAGCAGUUCAAAUCCACCAGCCACUCCUUGGAAACCCUAUGGAGUAGUUCUACUUUGUCCUAUGGCAUUGCUGUGGGUUGGAAUUGACAAUGGGUUUGGUUUCUGGUAGCAUACUUGGCACUCCUCACAAGCCGAGCAAACCCUUUGACCACCUCAACUACUUAUUGCAAAUGACAGUUUAUCUGAAGCCACCACAAUGAGCCAGACUCACAACUUCACGCCCGUGUGUCCUUUGUCUUUACUAGAGCUGAAAAGGAAUGGAUACAUCAGAGCUGAUCACAAAAGUGUCUCCAUGGAUUACACCUGGCAUUUUAAAACUUAAACCCCAAUCGAGCUAGGCAGACCCAGAGGACUUCUUGCUUACUGCUCUUCAGGGCUGAGAUAUUUCAAAGACAUCAACCAAAUGGCACAGCUCAGCAAUCUUCUAAUGUUCUGGACACGUUCCGUUCAAAUCGGCACUCACGCGAGCUGUAACACCACGGGAAACAAGGCCACACGCAGCCUAUUGAUGAGUGUGCACAGAGGUGACAUUCAUUCAUUCACUCAUCGAAUAUCACUUGUUCACUGAACAUAGCCAUUGGGCAUCUAGGGGGUGCUGGCUUGAUUUCAGACUUGGGGAUGCAGAGGUGAACAAGAGCCUCUGCUCUCCUGGAGCUUACUUUUUUUAAAAUAACUUAUUUAAUCACUUAUUUUUUGUUGUUGAGAUACACACAGUGGAACAUACACCAGCCCAAGUUUCUGCAAGUACCAUUCAGCAACAUUGAUGACAUUCUUUGAGUUGUGCAGCCAUUCUCACCCUCCUUUUCUGAGUUCUUCCUCCGCCAUUAACAUAAACUCACUGCCCCCUAAGUUUCCUAUCUAAUCUCUUAAGUUGUUGUCAGUUUGAUCCCAUAAGUGGUUGUUGUUAGGUGCCACUGAGUCAAUUCCAGCUCAGGGUGACCCUGUGUACAAGAGAACGAAACACUGUCCAGUCCUUUGCCAUCCUCACAGUCGUUGCUAUGCUUGAGCCCAUUGUUGCAGCCACUGUACAAAUCCAUCUUGUUGAGGGUCUUCCUCUUUUUCACUGACCCUCUACUUCGCCAAGCAUGAUGUCCUCCUCCAGGGACCGGUCUCUCCUCACAACCUGUCCAAAGUACAUGAGACAAAGUCUCACCAUCCUUGCUUCUAAGGAGCAUUCUGCUCUCUAAAAUAUGAAGGCGAAAUUAAAACAUUUACAGAUAAACACAAGCUUAGAGAAUUUGCAAAAACCAAACCAAAGCUACAAGAAAUACUAAAGGAAAUUGGUCAGAAAAUCAAUAAUAUCCGAUACCAGCACAACACAAGGUCACAGAGCAGAACAUCCUGAUAUCAACUCAAAUAGGGAAAUCACAAAAACAAAUUAAGAUUAAUUUUAAAAAGAAAAAAAUGCUCAAAACAGGGAAUCGUUGAAGUCAAUAUGUAAAAGAUCACAAUAAUCAAAAAGAGGGACUAAAUACAGGUGGCAUAGAACUGCCAUAUGGAGAGGAAAACAAGGCGACAUAGGACAAGUUAGGUUUUUACUUAGAAAAAUAGGGGUAAAUAUUAAGGUAACCACAAAGAGGUAUAACAACUCCGUAACUCAAAAUAAAAACCAAGAAAAACAUAACAACUCAGCAAACAUAAAGUCAAAUACUAUGAAAAUGAGGAACACACAAUUUACAAAGAAAAACGUCUCACCACAAAAAAGUGGAAAAAUGAAAUUGUCAACAACACACAUAAAUAAAAAGGCAUCAAAAUGACAACACUAAACACACACUUAUCUAUAAUCACGCUGAAUGUAAAUGGACUAAAAGCACCAAUAAAGAGACAGAGUCUCAGACUGGAUAAAGAAACACGAUCCGUCUAUAUGCUGCCUACAAGAGACACACCUUAGAGACACAAACAAAAACUCAAAGGAUGGAAAAAAAUGUAUCAAGCAAACAAUAAGCAAAAAAGAAGAGGAGUAGCAAUAUUAAUUUCAGACAAAAUAGACUUUAAAGUUAAAUCCACCACAAAGAAUAAAGAAGGACAGUACAUAAUGAUAAAAGGGACAAUUGACCAGGAAGAUAUAACCAUAUUAAAUAAUUAUGCACCCAAUGACAGGGCUGUAAGAUAUAUAAAACAAAUUUUAACAGAACUGAAAAGUGAGGUAGACACCUCCACAAUUACAGUAGGAGACUUCAACACAUCACUUUCGGAGAAGGACAGGACAUCCAGUAAGAAGCUCAGUAGAGACACGGAAGACCUAAUUACUACAAUCAACCAACUUGACCUCAUUGACUUAUACUAAACACUCCACCCAACUGCUGCAAAAUAUACUUUUUUUUCUAGCACACAUGGAACAUUCUCUAGAAUAGACCACAUAUUAGGUCAUAAAACAAAUCUUUGCAGAAUCCAAAACAUAGAAAUAUUACAAAGCAUCUUCUCAGACCACAAGGCCAUAAAAGUGGAAAUCAAUAACAGAAAAAUUAGGGAAAAGAAAUCCAAUACUUGGAAACUGAACAAUACCCUGCUGAAAAAAGACUCGGUUAUAGAAGACAUCAAGGAGGGAAUAAGGAAAUUCAUAGAAUGCAACGAGAAUAAAAAUACUUCCAUCAAAACCUCUGGGACACAGCAAAAGCAGUGCUCAGAGGCUAAUUUAUAUCAAUAAAUGCACACAUCCAAAAGAAGAGCCAAAAUCAGAGAACUGUCCCUACAACUUGAACAAAUAGAAAGUGAGCAACAAAAGAAUCCAUCAGGCAC